rnacentral:rRNA from 1 species
UCAAAAUAACACCGUAACUUCGGGAGAAGGUGUGCCGUUGAUGGUGAAGCCCUCCUCGGGCCGAGCUGUUGGCGGUUGCAGCGAAAUGGGGAUUGUGACUGUUUACUAAAAACAUAGGACUCUGCAAAGUCGAAAGACGACGUAUAGGGUCUGAUGCCUGCCCGGUGCUGGAAGGUUAAGGGGAAGUGUCAGCGCAAGCGAAGCACCCAACCGAAGCCCCAGUAAACGGCGGCCGUAACGAUAACGGUCCUAAGGUAGCGAAAUUCCUUGUCGGGUAAGUUCCGACCUGCACGAAUGGCAUAACAACAUUCCCGCUGUCUCAACCAGGGACUCAGCGAAAUUGCAUAGGGGGUGAAGAUGCCCUCUACCCGCGGCAAGACGGGAAGACCCCAUGAACCUUUACUGCAACUUGGCAGUGAACUUCGGGAUGUUCUGCGUAGGAUAGGUGGGAGGCGUUGAAGCCGGGCUUCCGGGUUCGGCAGAGCCACCGUUGAAAUACCACCCUGAACAUUCAGGGGUUCUAACCUAGGCCCGUGAUCCGGGUCGGGGACACUGCCUGGUAGGCAGUUUGACUGGGGCGGUCGCCUCCAAAAUCGUAACGGAGGCGUGCGAGGGUUCCCUCAGCCUGAUUGGAAACCAGGCGUAGAGUGCAAACGCAUAAGGGAGCUUGACUGUGAGACCGACAGGUCGAGCAGGUGCGAAAGCAGGUGUUAGUGAUCCGGUGGUUCCUGAUGGAAGGGCCAUCGCUCAACGGAUAAAAGGUACUCUGGGGAUAACAGGCUGAUCGCGCCUGAGAGUUCACAUCGGCGGCGCGGUUUGGCACCUCGAUGUCGGCUCAUCGCAUCCUGGGGCUGGAGCAGGUCCCAAGGGUUUGGCUGUUCGCCAAUUAAAGCGGUACGCGAGCUGGGUUUAGAACGUCGUGAGACAGUUCGGUCCCUAUCUGCCGUGGGCGUAGGACACUUGAGAGGAGUUGCCCAUAGUACGAGAGGACCUGGGUGAACGUACCCCUGGUGAUCCGGUUGUUCUGCCAAGAGCAUUGCCGGGUAGCUACGUACGGAACGGAUAACCGCUGAAAGCAUCUAAGCGGGAAGCCGGCCUCAAGACUAGGUGUCCCGUCGAAAGACCUAAAGGCUCCAUGUAGACCACGUGGUAAUAGGCUGGGUGUGAAAGCGUAGCAAUGCGCGGAGCUAACCAGUACUAAUAAGCCGUGAGGCUUGACC